rnacentral:lncRNA from 1 species
GGUUUAGGUCCACCUGCUUCUAUUCUCUUUCUCCUUCACUGCACUGAAGUAUGUCUAUUCUCUUCUUCUUGUGAGUUUUCAACUCUCUUUCUUCUUUAAUGUCGAAUCUCUCUCUUUUCUAUAUGGUUUAUUAUGGUGGUUGAGGCAGUGACUCUUUCUUCUUCUAUUUUAGGUUUUCUGAAAUUUCUUUUAUUUCUCUGGCUUCACUCUCUGAAAGUGUGAGCGAGUUUUUUCUGAAAUUUUUCUCUGUUGCAUACACUUCAUUUCAUUGUCCAUCGGUAAUUACAGUUUGUUGGAUAUUGUGGUUUGUUUUAUUGUUUGUGGGUAAUCACAAUUUGCUGGGUAUAUGUUAUUUUCACUAUAUGUUGGUCUUUUGUUUCUUUAUGGAGAUUUGUUUUUGGAUUUUCUACAUGGAUGGCAGUAAUUUGUUUUGAUUUCUGCAUCUUGGUGUUUAAUUUCACUAACAUUUUCUUUUGGAAAUUUUUCCAUCGAACGAACCUGUGAUGACCCGAUAGGUCAUCUUAUAUUUUAAAAUCAAAUUUUAUGUUUCGAGGUCUCAAAAAUCUCAUUUUGGCUUUCUUCGAUUUGCGUGCGCAGUCCGGAUAUUCUUCCGAAAGGCUUAUAUGUUAAAAACUGAUAAAAAUAAGAAUUUUGUUUUAAAAAUUAAUUUGAGUUGACUUCGGUCAACGUUUUGAGUAAACUGACCCGAUCCGUAUUUUGACGGAUCCGGAUCUGUAUUUUGACGGUCCCGGUAAGUCCAUAUCGAAAUAUAUAUGGGACUUGGGCGUAUGCCCGGAAUCGAAUUCGAAGGUCCCUAGCUCAAGUUAUGAAUUUUGGUGAAAAUUAAAAAUCUGGAAGUUUAAUGGUUUUUAAGAAUUAACUUAUGUUUGGAUUUAUUGAUACAGGGUUCGUAUUUUGGUUUCGGACUCCGGUACAGGUUCACCAUAAUAUUUAUGACUUGUCUGUCAAAUUUUGUGAGAAACGGAGUUGAUAUGACGUGAUUCGGACGUUCAGUUGUGAAAAUAGAAGUUUUAAAGUUUUCUUGAAAAUUUACUUUGAUUCGGUGUCUGAUCCAUAGUUCUAGGCGUUAUUUUGGUGUUUUGAUCGCGGGAGCGAGUUCGUAUGAUGUUUUGAACUUGUGUGCAUAAUUGAUUUGGAGCCCCGAGGGCUCGGGCGAGUUUCGGAUAGGCUACGGGUGUUUUGAAACUUAGAAAAUCCGGUUUAUUUUGUGCUUUAGCUAUUAUCUGGUGUCUUCUUCUUCACGAUCGCUAAGGUACUCUUGCGAACGCGAAGAGUAAAUUGGGGCAUGGUGACUUUCUUAAUCAUGAACGCGGUAGAUGGGUCGCGAACGCGAAGCAAUGGGGGGCCUUACCCUUCGCGAACGCGAAGCUUUAGGGACCUGGGGGAGGGGUCAGUUAUCCUUCUACGUGAACGCGAGCCUUGGCUCGCGAACGCAAAGGCCAGGGGAGCAGCCUUCGCGAACGCAAAGGAGGACUCGCGAGCGCGAAAGCCACUCGGGCUGCUGCACAUCGCGAACGCGAAGAAGGCCUGACACCCAAACCUUAAAACAUUUCAAAAAGGGGAUUUUAUCCAUUUUUCAUAAACUCUCCAUUAGAGCUCGGCCUAGGUGCGAUUUUGAAGGGAAAACUCAACACCAAUUUAUAGGUUUGUACUCUUUAACUCAUUUCCUUCCAUUUCUAAAAUCACCCAUUAAAUUCAUUAAAUUCUUAGCCCUAAUCUUUGUUCUUUCAUGGUAGUAAACUUGGGAUUUAGGAAGAAUUGAGAGGUUUUUGCAAAUUGGGGAUUUAGACCUCAAUUUGGGGUCGGAUUUCAAAACUAGUUACAUAAUCGGGCUCGGGGGUAAAUGGGUAAAUGGAUUUUGCUACGAACCUCGGGUUUUGACCAAGCGGGCCCGGGUCGAUUUUUGACUUUUUGGGGAAAAGUUUGGGGAAUCUAAAAUUAUGCAUUGUAAUUUAUUUCUUUAGCAAUAUCUGAUGUUAUUGAGUCGUUUGUGGAUAGAUAUGAGUGGUUUGGAGGUGGAUUCUAGAGGAAAAGCGGUAAUUGAACAUUGAGUGGCCCUUGGAGCGAGGUAAGUGUCGUGGUUAACCUUGACUUAGGGGAGUAUGACUUGUUUGUCUAUUUGCUACAUGUAUAAAUGUUGGGGAACAACGUAUAUGUGAGGUGACGAGUACUUAUGCGUUGUAGUCGGGUUAAAUCAUGCGAGCAGGGCUUGGUUUCUUGCAAUUAUAGUUUUCUUUGUUCAUGUUUCCAUGUUUAGACUAGUAUGGUUAAAUUGAUCGUUCUUAUCAUGUUUACGGAUCAUCUAGUGAUAAUUGAGUAUUGAUUCCGAAGUUGAGGUUGAUAUUGUGGAAUCAAAUGUUGAAGUAAGGCUUGUACUUGUUAUUCUAUCUCCCUGUUGUUAUUUGUUCAUUGCAUUAUGGUAAGGGAGAGCGUUAAUGCACGAAGGGUGAUGCCGUGCCACAUUGUGAGUGUUAAUGCACGAAGGGUGAUUCCGUGCCAUAUUGUGAGAGUUAAUGCACGAAGGGUGACGUCGUGUCAUUUCUAUUAAUUUUAUGGUAAGGUUGAGAGUAAAAGCACGAAGGGUGAUGCCGUGCAUUUUUCCUUUACUGUAUUUACUUGUUCUUAUUGGUUCAUAAUAUAUUGGAUGUUCAAGUUACCAUUUUGCUGUAGUUCUCUAUCUCGUAUUCCCCUCAGCAUGUUUUUCCCUCCCAAUAGUACACAUUUAGCUCUAAUUUGAACAUAUACUGUUAAAUUGCAUAGGUUUGUUAUGUAGGUGUCUUGUCAUAGUCUCGUCACUACUUCGUCAAGGUUAGGCUCGAUACUUACCAGUACAUUGGGUCGGUUGUACUGAUACUACAUUCUUCACUUCCUGUGCAGAUUUUGAUAUUGGUCCCAGCUGAUCGAGAGGCGUAGCAGCUUGGACUGGUUCGUCGGAGACUCAAGGUAGAUCUGUUGGCGUUCGCAGACCUUGAAGUCCUCGUCUAUCUUUUCUGUUUUUUUUCUUUACAGUUUCUUUUGUUCAAACAGUUAUUUUUCUUUCAGACUUUUACUUGUAAUAAAUCCUAGAAGUUCGUGAAUUGUGACUCCAGAUCCGAGUGGUAGUAAUUAAUGAAGUUUUUAUAUUAUUCCG